UUUUUAGGGCUCAUAUCAAGUGUAAAUUUUGAAAGAUCUGUCACAGUGGGAAAAAACCCAAUUCAAUUUGAAGGGACUAAAAGAGAAAGAGAAAAAGAAGGAAGACGAAGAUAGAAUCUGAGAUACCAAACCAAAGCCCUUUGAUGAAAAGGUGUUGGCGGUACCUACAAGUUCCAAGCUUCUUGUUUGUGUUGUUUGUUUUGGAAGGGUGAAAAAAGUAAUAAUAUAUCUAUCUAUGGAAUUGGGUAUUCCCACUCGAGUCCCCUCUCUUUCUAAUCACUGCCCU
rnacentral:lncRNA from 1 species